UACGUCCACACCUUUUAGGUGUGGAUCAGUUGACUGUCAUACUUCCAAGAAAAGCUCGAACUACUGUAAAGCAUCACGUACCUGUACCGUAAACCGACACAGGUGGGUUGGUAGAGUAUACCAAGGGGCGCGAGAUAACUCUCUCUAAGGAACUCGGCAAAAUGACCCCGUAACUUCGGGAGAAGGGGUGCCAAGUAACUCAAAUUGCUUGGUCGCAGUGACCAGGCCCUGCGACUGUUUAUCAAAAACACAGGUCUCCGCAAAGUCGUAAGACAACAUAUGGGGGCUGACGCCUGCCCAGUGCCGGAAGGUUAAAGAAGUUGGUUAUUCACUCGUGGAGAAGCUGACGACUGAAGCCCCGGUGAACGGCGGCCGUAACGAUAACGGUCCUAAGGUAGCGAAAUUCCUUGUCGGGUAAGUUCCGACCCGCACGAAAGGCGUAACGAUCAGGGCACUGUCUCGGAGAGAGACUCUGAAAUAGACAUGUCUGUGAAGAUGCGGACUACCUGCACCUGGACAGAAAGACCCUAUGAAGCUUGACUGUAGCCUGGAAUUGGGUUCGGGCUCUUCUAGCGCAGCCUAGGUGGGAGGCGUUGAAGGCUUUCUUUUGGGGAAGCUGGAGCCAUCAGUGAGAGACCACUCUGGAGGAGCUAGAAUUCUAAUGGCGUUCCUUGAAGCAGGACGCUUGACAGUUUCAGGUGGGCAGUUUGACUGGGGCGGUCACCUCCUAAAAGGUAACGGAGGUGUGCAAAGGUUCCCUCAGGCUGGACGGAAAUCAGCCGUAGAGUGUAAAGGCAGAAGGGAGCUUGACUGCAAGGCCUACAAGUCGAGCAGGGGCGAAAGCCGGCCUUAGUGAUCCGACGGUUCCAUGUGGAAGGGCCGUCGCUCAACGGAUAAAAGUUACUCUAGGAUAACAGGCUGAUCUUCCCCAAGAGUUCACAUCGACGGGAAGGUUUGGCACCUCGAUGUCGGCUCAUCGCAACCUGGGGCGGUAGUACGUCCCAAGGGUUGGGCUGUUCGCCCAUGAAAGCGGUACGUGAGCUGGGUUCAGAACGUCGUGAGACAGUUCGGUCCAUAUCCGGUGUAGGCGUUAGAGCAUUGAGAGGAGUCUUCCAUAGUACGAGAGGACCUGGAAGAACACACCUCUGUAUACCAGUUAUCAUGCCAAUGGUAGACGCUGGGUAGCCAUGUGUGGAGUGGAUAACCGCUGAAAGCAUCUAAGUGGGAAGCCCACCUCAAGAUGAGUGCUCUCCAUUAGGUCACAGGAAGACAACCUGUUUGAUAGGCAGAAGGUGUAAGGCUAGUAAUAGUUUCAGCUGAUCUGUACUAAUAGACCGAUUGAUUUUGACC
rnacentral:rRNA from 1 species